GAGCACCAGUUUCUCUUGCAGCCUGUUAAUAAAAUAUAACAACGCAAAGAUCACAUAAAAAACAACAAAGAUAGCCCCCAGUUUAAACUGCAGAAGAACUGAAUAAUUUCAGAAAACAAAUUAAAAAGAAAAAAUGAAAGGGAAUUACUAGCAGGCAAAAGGCUAAAUAAUAUGAACAAGUGCAAGCAACUUUCACUUAAUAAUUUAAAAGAACUGAAAGCAAAUUAUCAUUCUAAACUAUACAUAUAAAUGCACUUUCAAUCGUAUGCAAGUUUCCCUAAGCAAAUGUUCAUAGUCCGGACAAGUUUUUCCCAAAGAAAAGUAUAUACAACACCACAUGCCCAUCCCUUGAAAGUGCUAGAUGAAGUUGAAUUUUGGGGUCAUUAACAAGUAUUCAAAAAAUCUUCCUAUUGGCGUAUCAACAUGUAAAUUGAUCAUUACAGUUUAAGAGAAUCAAAGAUAACUACCAGGCACUUUCCCUAAAAAAUAAGAAGAACAAGAAUCUUAUUCCAUGGACCCUAUUCAGGCAAAACAAUUGCGUUCAAGUAAAAGACAAGACAUGUACAUAAGAGAUUCCAUCCAAAGCUGUUUCUCAAACAAUUUCACAACAUCAAUGAGAAAUGAAAGAAGAAAAAAAACAGAAGCUGACCAUUUUAAGUUUCUGCAGUUCUUUUCGAGCAACUCUCA
rnacentral:misc_RNA from 1 species